UACGGAGGAUGCGAGCGUUAUCCGGAUUUAUUGGGUUUAAAGGGUGCGUAGCCGGGAUGCCGAGUCAGCGGUAAAAAUGCGGUGCUCAACGCCGUCGAGCCGUUGAAACUGGCGUUCUUGAGUGGGCGAGAAGUAUGCGGAAUGCGUGGUGUAGCGGUGAAAUGCAUAGAUAUCACGCAGAACUCCGAUUGCGAAGGCAGCAUACCGGCGCCCUACUGACGCUGAGGCACGAAAGCGUGGGUAUCGAACAGG
rnacentral:rRNA from 1 species